UAGACACACCAGUUAAUCAUGUUACUGCAUCUAACCUGUGAUCUAACUGUUGUACACUACGGGUGAAAAGGCAACGUGUAAAAAUGCAAAGCUUGCAAUAUCCUACGGUACCCAUACUUUUGAUCAAGGUCAUUUGACGUCAGUGGAGAUCAAUGUGGCAAAGAUCUAUUGUCACCUUUCUAUUUCAAGUUUUUCCAAAUCUCAGAUACUACUCGCGGAGUAUCCUCAACGUUCGUGGUGUCCCUGGUGACUGUUAGAAAAACAUUUCCACCCCAGUCAUAUUACUGUUAAAAAUCUAUUCUAACGACGGGUAUUUUAAAUCAAAGGCGCUGCCUGCAUGCAUGCAUGCAUGCAUGCAUGCAUGGAGGGGUAGUUAGCGGUAAUUUCUUCGUACUUUACCCCAGGAACCUAUUACCCUCUCGGUGCAUGCUUAUUAUUGGACACUAUUUGUAGUUUAUCUGCAGCUCAAAGAGUAGUAGCAUUAUAAAAACCUCACGCCUACUUGAUUUUUAUCUUAUAGAAUAACGUAAAUCUUAAAUUGGGAAUCGCGCCUGUGAUUAUGCCAAUGUUGACAGACAAAUCAAAACCGGCGACUAUUGAAGAUUCGACCCCUGUAAAUAGUCGACUCCUGAAGAAAGCUUUGAGUCCACCAAUAACAAUUAAAAAUUUUUUUAAGCCUUCGUCCAAGACAAGUGAUCCUGACAUUUUCACAGCGAAAGCUGAAUGUUCAAGUGACAAUACCAGCCUUAGCUCCAAUGAUAAAUCAGUACUUGACGAAGAAGACACUCGAACUU